rnacentral:rRNA from 1 species
GUGGGGAAUAUUGGACAAUGGGGGGAACCCUGAUCCAGCCAUGCCGCGUGUGUGAAGAAGGCCUUUUGGUUGUAAAGCACUUUAAGCGAGGAGGAGGCUACCGAGAUUAAUACUCUUGGAUAGUGGACGUUACUCGCAGAAUAAGCACCGGCUAACUCUGUGCCAGCAGCCGCGGUAAUACAGAGGGUGCAAGCGUUAAUCGGAUUUACUGGGCGUAAAGCGCGCGUAGGUGGCCAAUUAAGUCAAAUGUGAAAUCCCCGAGCUUAACUUGGGAAUUGCAGUCGAUACUGGUUGGCUAGAGUAUGGGAGAGGAUGGUAGAAUUCCAGGUGUAGCGGUGAAAUGCGUAGAGAUCUGGAGGAAUACCGAUGGCGAAGGCAGCCAUCUGGCCUAAUACUGACACUGAGGUGCGAAAGCAUGGGGAGCAAACAGGAUUAGAAACCCGAGUAGUCC